UUCAAAUGGGCUGGGAAGCAGUCUUGGGUAGGUAGGAGGGAAAGCUUCGGAAGGGAUGAGGCCACGGCAAGGAUGGGAAGAAGCUUCUAGAAACAAACCCACUCAUGCACAGGUGGAGAGAUACAGAAGCACAGAAAAGAGCAGUGCACCUGGCAAGAGUGAGGCCUCCGGGGACAGAGGAGGAAAAAAAAAAAAGUAGAGAGCAUGCAAUGUCUCAAGUGUGUGAGAGGGCAGACAGAUGACCCGUCUCAGUGACCCUGAGGGGGGCAGUUCUGUGUGUUGUCAUGGGGAUGGAACCCUCCUACUUUCUCCCACAGCACCCUCAGUUCUCAGGACUGGAGAAAGAGGCAGGGAAGAGGGUGUUGGUCUUGGAUCAACUCCCUGGUAGCUGAGCUGGCCAGAAAGGGCCCAAGGCCCACAGUUGGUUUGCUGAUGCAGCUUCAAGGCUUGGGUUUGGGAGGUGAAUGUCAACUGUCACCCCUUUGAGGUGGCAGCUCUGCUCUGUUGCCCUCCAUAGAGGCUAAAUAAAUAAUUGCUGAGAUCCAUAAACCACUUAGCCUAGGGAGAAGAAGGAGAAGGGAAGGGAAGCUCCCCAGGAAAAAAAAAGAAAAUCCACUUCCCUCCCCCACUAAACACAUUCUUAAUUGUCCCUUGGGAACAUUUGUACAUUUGACCAAAGCAAAUCCCCAAGCAGUAACAGCAAAAUUCGUCAUAGGGGCUGGCAGUCCUGAGAGAGCUAGGGGUCUGGGAAGGGGGAAGGCGGGGAGACCUGGCCGGCAUGUCUGAGAAGGUGAGAAACUUGGCUCUUUUCUCCCUGUCUCUGUCAGGCCGUAGAGAGAAAGUGAACAAGAGGAAUAAAGUUCCAGAGUAAAGAAAGAGAAGGACACAUAAAAGGCAAAUCCAAACUAGAAAGGAAAGAAAGUGAAGAAGAAAGAAAAAGGUGGGGAGAGAUGGGGCCGGGGGAGACGUGCUAAUAAAAAAGGGUGAAGGCGGCCCCAGGAGGCUGGGCCUCGUCCCAAACCAUCGGUCUUCAUUGUCUCCGUGUGUGCAAAGGCAACUCCGGCAUAAGGAAAAGCCACUAUUGAAGCCGCGGCUUUAUUUUAUAUCCUAUACAUCAGGAGGGAGGCAAAGCUUUAUUUUCGCCAAGAGACAGAUAUUUUAUUUCUCUCUUACGGUUUUAUGUGUGAGAGAUGUCAGGUUACCACAAUGGAUGGCUAAUGCAUAGGCAAGAGGAGGCCGUGUUGGCAUGCUGUGUGUCAUGGGGUCUUGGGGGGGUGAGCGGGCCUGGGAUUUAGGGCUGAUGGGACACUCUGGGGGAUUUCUGCUAAAACAUCUCUCUUCAUAAAUCCAGAAGCAUGGUCAGCUCAACAGGGAGAAGAAGGAGUUUUAGAGGGAAAAGAGUUGGGCUUAGAAAUAAAUGAACACACAAAGGAGCCGCUUCCCUUCCGACAGGCUGGGGCACCGGGGGGCAAGGUGGCCUGGUGGAAAAGCAGAGACCCACAUCCAAACACACGCGCACCUUGGCGAGGAAGUGUUUUCCUACAGAACCCACUGUCAUUGUGCUUCCUUUCCCUGUUUUAUAUUUUUCUACGCUUUUCUUCCCUCUCUUCACCAGAAAUCUUUUUUUUUCCCCCCAUCUCCUUAGAGCCUUGGGGGGAAAGAGCUAUUAAUUUGCAAAUCAUCUGAUCUGUGAAAGGAUCAAGAUGCCUGUUUUUCACUGCUAAAUCCAAUGUCUUGGGUGGACACACAUAGGCACACGCGAGCCCAUCAUGCUGAGAAUCCUGGGAGUGGAGGUGCCAGAUUGGAGUCCGAGAAACAUGCCCCACUCCCCGCUUCCCCCUGGGACCUAUGGCUGAAUUAAGCCUUAGAUCCCAAACUGCACAGUGUUCAUAUUUUUGAACCCAGAGAGAAGGGGGAGAUGAGGGGACAAAGAGAGAAAGGGAAGUGUGUUAAUUGAUGUGUGCCAUUCAGGACUUGGAGUAGUCUCCCUACUCCCAGCCCCCCAAACCCUUUCUUCCAAGAGUUCCAAGAGCUCUAUUCAUUCCCAAGUCCUCCUCUUCUAAUGUUGUGAUUUCUUGGUCUGUAACCACUGUGGACCUCUAGACAAUGAACACGGUGUGUGUGGGGGGGACUGACCACACAUUGUCCGUAGCUGGGGCCUCUGGGAAAGUCAUUUAACCUUCCAGGGCCUCAGUUUCCUCAUCCGCCUUGGGCUAAGCAAUUGUUAAGGUCCCUUCCAGCUCCAACCGAACGAGAUAAUGUGUGAAAACAUUUUGUAAACGCUAAAGCCGGACGAAUGCCAGGGAUUAUUAUUACGAUUCUAAUCAAUCCUCCUUUCUCCACAUGGAUCUUGGCUGUUUAGCACCAGCAAGCAGACUAAAGAGGGCUGAAAGCGAGAGAGCUUAGCGGAGAUGGAAAAGCUCUGUGGCGUGGACAGAAAAAAAAAAAAAAAAACCGAAAACCCUGCAUCUCCAGAAACAUUCUGUGUCUGGGUGUCUCCCGGGGUGCCUGGUGGGAGGGGUUGGGAAGAAGAGGAGGCCUGACUCAGUAUGACCCACUGCAGUCUACGUGGAGGCUGAGAGUGUAUUUUUUUCUCAGGCUUCAUUUGUCUCCAAGUGACUGACACAAGAACCUGAUGUGAAGGCGAUCUGCAAUUGUUUUUUUUUCCAGCAAGAAAGGAAAGAGCAAGGUGUAGCUGAUUAGCAAGUUAAUUAUUUCAGUAUCCCAAGGGUUCCGGUGUGGUGGAAGCAGCCCACGGCAUCAGGCUCUGGAGAGCCAACUUCCUGACUUCAGUGAUGUGAAGAUGGUCUAAUACGUUUUUGGUGCCGGCAAGCAGCUGUCCCCCAAGCAGGUUGGCUGAUACCCCUGCUGGUGGAAAGGGGCCGGGGGCUUAUGGAAACACAGCUCUGAUGGUUGCUUCAUUGUGGGUGGCAGAGGAUUUGGGGAACAGGGCUGGGUGAAUUGCUGUUUCAACUCCUUUGGGCUGUCUUUACCUUACAGGCCUUGGGGAUCUCAGUAGGGGAGAAAUUGGAGAAACUUAGAAUACAGGAAGCAGGUGUAGGGAGUUCCUUGGCUCAGUCUUGGUGCCACGCCAAACUGAAGCCCGGGGAUGGUAAACAGAGAUCCUACAGAGCCGUUUUGGAUGUUCCAUGUGGGAUCUUGGCCCUGGUUCCUGGGAGAUUGAGAAGGCUUUAGCAAGCUGUGGGGACACCUACAAAUUCCCUUUGUUCAUCAGCUUUGGGAAGUAAAUGCAACCUCUUUUCACUGCCUAGUGGCUGGGAAGGCGCAUUUUCGGCCUCCGUGAGCUUCAUUUGGGGUUCUGCCAUUUUCUUGCUCAUGUUCCAAGUUUGGACUUCCCAGGUCUUGAGUUUUCUUUUCCCUCAGGCCAUUCAUAAUUUAGCCAACAGCCUAGGCCAGGGGGACUCACACAUUUUGAAAGGAGAGCUUGGCAAGCCCCUAACUACAUGGGAGUUGGUUCUCAUUUGGGCUCAAGGGAUGAUAACGGCUUCCCCUUAAAAAAGAAGCAUUUCUGUGACUCUUUUAACGAAGGAUUUACUACUAAUUUGAUAAGUUCAGUGCCCUUUUUCCCCCUCAUUCUGAAUGAAUAACUUUGUCAGUCAACCCCGAGGGUCUGCAGAACCUAUAAAAAUGCUUCCUUUGGUCUCCCGAUUUUAACACAUUCUGGGGCUGGGGCUACCUCUGACAGACCCAGACGGGGGAGGGGCAGAGACAUUCCAGAGACCUGGGCUUAGAGUGUUAUCUCUUCCCCUACCCCAAAUCCUCACCCUCCAUGUUAUCUGUCUUUAAGUCACAGGCAGGGACCUCCUAGGGAAGUGCGAAGGGCGGGGUCUUAAUCAGGUUUGGGGAAGCAGAGGGAAUAAGUCGAGCUCAAAGAAAGAUGGGGAUGGUCAGAAUGUUGGGGGACCCUCCUCUCUUAUACUUCUUAUGCGUUGUCUAUGAAGGUCUGCAAAUUAUGCACUGGUAGCAGUCAUCUGGAGUGUAUAGGUCGGAAUUUGCCAAAUGCCACUUGGCCGAAACAGCGUUAAAUAAAAUUGUAAGAAAUGUUA